rnacentral:rRNA from 1 species
UACGUAGGGUGCAAGCGUUGUCCGGAAUUAUUGGGCGUAAAGAGCUCGUAGGCGGUUAGUCGCGUCUGCUGUGAAAACUCGGGGCUUAACUCCGGGCCUGCAGUGGGUACGGGCUGACUAGAGUGCGGUAGGGGAGACUGGAAUUCCUGGUGUAGCGGUGAAAUGCGCAGAUAUCAGGAGGAACACCGGUGGCGAAGGCGGGUCUCUGGGCCUUACCUGACGCUGAGGAGCGAAAGCGUGGGGAGCGAACAGG